rnacentral:misc_RNA from 1 species
GUGAAUCAUCAAAUUUUUGAACGCAAAUUACACUCUUUUCGGAUAGUAUGCCUGUUUGAGGUUCAGCCUAAAAAAAUUCGACAUCGUUGCUGUUUCGCUUUGGCGUUCGUCGGAAAUUGGUUUAUCUUAAAUCUUUGUUUUAGGCGACUUAAAAUUUUCUUUACGAUUCCAGUAACGUUUCCAACAUUUAUUUCUUUACACGUUUAAGGUAUCGUUUUUAUUAGGCGUUGUCGUCAUAUUGGAUCUGGUCAAUAAUUUUUCUUUAACUGUCUUCACACAG